rnacentral:rRNA from 1 species
AGCGUAGGUUCCGAGCGUUAUCCGGAUUUACUGGGCGUAAAGCGCGUUCAGGCGGUUUGGCAAGUCGGGCAUGAAAUCCUUCGGCUCAACCGGGGGAGGUUGUCCGAUACUGCUGAACUGGAGGGCAGUAGAGGGUGGUGGAAUUCCGGGUGUAGUGGUGAAAUGCGUAGAGAUCCGGAGGAACACCAGUGGCGAAGGCGGCCGCCUGGACCUGACCUGACGCUGAGGCGCGAAGGCGCGGGGAGCGAACGGG